GGUUGACCUCGGAUCAGGUAGGGAUACCCGCUGAACUUAAGCAUAUCAAUAAGCGGAGGAGAA
rnacentral:rRNA from 1 species